CAAACACAAAUACAGUUAAAACUAAGGUUUUAAUAAAACAUUACCUAAGGUUGGAUGGGCUAAAGGGACCCUCGAUUUGCCCCCCAACAUUAAAUGACCUCAAAUA